UACAGAGGGGGCAAGCGUUGUUCGGAAUUACUGGGCGUAAAGGGCGCGUAGGCGGCCUGCUAAGUCGAACGUGAAAUCCCUGGGCUCAACCCAGGAACUGCGUCCGAUACUGGUUGGCUUGAAUUCGGGAGAGGGAUGCAGAAUUCCAGGUGUAGCGGUGAAAUGCGUAGAUAUCUGGAGGAAUACCGGUGGCGAAGGCGGCAUCCUGGACCGAGAUUGACACUGAGUGAGCGAAAGCCAGGGGAGCAAACGGG
rnacentral:rRNA from 1 species